CAUAUAAUCUUAACAUUUGACACCCAACUAUAUGUAGAUUGAUAAAUUUUAAGUUUUGUAACAAAUUAAAUUUCUAAAAGCAACUAUAAUAUAUGACAUUUGACAACCAACUCUAUGCAGACUAUUGAAUAAUUUAUAACGAUACCUCAGACUGCAUCCUUCUAUGUAUGAGAGUGCAGUUUAUCGCUUCGCGCGCGAGAACUUUAUUCACUUCAGUGAUCCUUUGUGAUAGUGACACUUUACUGCUGACAUGAGAGUAUUUUUGCAACAAGAUGAAACUCCAAAUGUGUUUGUGAAGCAGUUGUUAGACAUUGGAAAUAAUAAAAUCGCAGUGGACACCUCGAACAGAUUUAUCACACAUCGCAGACUCAAAAGAGGGGUUCAUUCAGCGUGUUUUCCCUGAUAAAGCGCUACAGUUCAAUAACCGUAAUUGGCUGGGCAACGAGCAAUUCCGGAUAGUUGUUUUCCUUCAAAUCAAUCGAAACCGUUAUGAACCAGGAUGAGGUAAUUAAAUUUCCCACAGAGUUUUCAAAUUCACAUCGACCUGGCUUACCACCUCACAAUAUGCAGGUAAAAGUAGGAUCAGUUCUCAUUAUGCUGCGUAACUCUUGCUCUACACACUCCAUAUUGCUAACAUGAAGACGUUGUGCUCUACCGCCACGUAAACAUGCUUAAUAUUGUUUCUCUCGACAAGUGUAAAUUGCGAAACUUUCCGUUCGGGGAGAGCAACUCAAAACUAAUAAAGAGAGAAAUGCUGACUUCUGUAAUAGUGUUAAUCCAUGUCAUCGUUGUCAAUACACUACCUCUAACAAUUUUCAAUGGAGCAUUCUCGUUCAUACGGCGAUCAACAUUGCAAGACUUCCCUCAGAAUGUCAACAAAUCUGGGAUUCACCUCGAGGGUAAAUUGUAGAAGCAAAUGGGAUGGAAACACCGUGUUAAAAAUGGAUGGAAAUGUCAUUAAAAUGGUAUAGGUGUAUUUACGGUCUACGUAUCGUUAGGAGUAGCUGUUUGGCACCUGGUAUGUCGGACUCAAAAGGCUUUCCCAUACCAACUAAAAACCUUCUCUAUCUCUGUUUCCCCUGCGGAACCGCCAUAAGGCACAACCACUCAGGGAGAGAUCUAGCAAUCAUCAUUAUCGCUAUUUCAAUACUCCUCUUUUUUUUUUCUUCAACACGGAGCUCUUUCAGCUGUCCACAUUAAUUAACUUCUGCACCGGUUGGGCACUCCAGGGAAUCUUCAUGUUCCCACCUGUAAACGUAUUCCCUAAAACAUCCAUGUCCGGAGAUCAUUUGGUUAAGGAAUUAACCUCUCUAUGGAUCCGGUUAAGCCAGAUAUCUAACCGCGGGAUAAGUUGAUGGUAAGAUGAUCUUCCCUUGGUUGAGGUGUCCCAUAAGAUUUGUCAUCGAUCAAAGCUGUUUCUCAUCUCGUUUCUCCUGAGCUCUGUCGGGGUCAGUGUGGUCAAUAUUCUCUGCCAAUAGAGGGAUCUUCUUUCUUCCACACUCCAAUCGACAGCAUUCCUUAUAUAACUCAUACUGUGUCCUCCAAUAGUGCGGAAUACGCUGUCAAUUCUUAGAGUGUUCAACCGAUAAACCGAUGCUACUUUCCGUCACAUGCCACAUGUGAUCACCAACAACAAAGCUCUCCUUCUCUAUUUUAGACCUCUUACGUUCAGCAUAUGCAUAUGUGUGUGUAAAUCAAUUUGGAGAGCAGCUUAUAACUCUGAGCUCCAAUGUCAUAAUAGUAAUGACUGUUUGGGAAUGUCCGUCAAACCACCCUCUGAAAGGUUGAUUUCCAUUUCGAGAAUUUCACAUCUGAUGUUGCGUCUAAAUAUUUACGCAACGUAAAUCAAUUUUCUAUUCAAAAUGAUCUAUUUCUAUUGAUAAGAUAGUGAAUUAUCCAUUAAAUCAUUCGCUGUAUCGGUUCAAGGACGACAAAAUCAAUUAUGAGGAACAGAUUAAAACAAAUUAGGAGAUAAGAUGACGCGAGUUGUUUAAAUAACCUAAAUGAAAAGUGAAUGUCGAUCGUUUAAAUUAAUUUUAUUUUUAUAGAUACUCAUUUUUCCGGGUAGGCACCGAUUUGGUAAACCAAUUGGUGGUUUUUUACCAGUCAAAAGUUUUGUGUAUUGAGUUCAACAAAUUGUAGAACUUCAUAUCAGUUUAAAUGUUCUAGUCUUCACCAAAAAUUUAAUCUAUCUAACUCAUUUUGGCCAAAAAUGGACUGAUUAAAUUGAAGAAUUUCUGUGACUUAAAUCAAAUUUCUAAUAUCGUUCAUUUCUUGGAUUAGAAACUUGUAGAACAAACUUCUUUCUUCCAUGGUUAAAAUCAUCUUUAAAAUAUGCGUUUAAGAGUUCGUCUACUGUGAAUGCUGUUCUUUAUGGUUUUUGACAUUUUUUUGAUAAACCAAUAAAGACUUUGCCUUAAAAGUAACGAAAGUUUAUGAAUAGUUUUAGAAUUGAAUUAUCCAUGGUAUGAAAAAAAAAUUUCGUAUUCAACUAACAGACAAAAAUCUGUGAAAUUUUUAGGUUAUAUCAACCCUAAUAACCCAGAAUAGCUCUAUCGCCUUCUACCAAUACUUAUAGGGGGUCAUCCCAUGUAAUGGGCCCACAAAAUCGAUUUUUUGCUUAAAUUGCUUUCUUAACAUGUCUAGGAUACAGUAGUGAAUUGAUUUUUGAAAAUUCGAAGUCGUUUUAAAGAUACAGCAGAUAGAAGAAAGAGCUGUUCGGAGGCUUAUACAGAAAUUUCAAGAGGAAGAGGAACGGAUACUCUAUGGACCAGGCAUCGCCGUAUGAGGAUAAGCCAAUUAACCGGAAUCGUGGAGGAAGUGCGAGCUCAUUUUUUCGAGGCGGGGGUGUUCAGAACGUUGUCCCACACAUUAUUAUUAGCUUAAAAUUUAAAUUUAUACUGUCGAAAUAUAUGUUAAGAAAUGAUAAUAAACUUAAAGCUCUAUCUAUUUA